rnacentral:rRNA from 1 species
ACUCCUACGGGAGGCAGCAGUGGGGAAUAUUGCACAAUGGGCGCAAGCCUGAUGCAGCCAUGCCGCGUGUAUGAAGAAGGCCUUCGGGUUGUAAAGUACUUUCAGCAGUGAGGAAGGUGGGUAUGUUAAUAGCAUAUUCAUUUGACGUUAGCUGCAGAAGAAGCACCGGCUAACUCCGUGCCAGCAGCCGCGGUAAUACGGAGGGUGCGAGCGUUAAUCGGAAUUACUGGGCGUAAAGCGCAUGCAGGUGGUUUGUUAAGUCAGAUGUGAAAGCCCGGGGCUCAACCUCGGAAUUGCAUUUGAAACUGGCAAACUAGAGUACUGUAGAGGGGGUAGAAUUUCAGGUGUAGCGGUGAAAUGCGUAGAGAUCUGAAGGAAUACCGGUGGCGAAGGCGGCCCCCUGGACAGAUACUGACACUCAGAUGCGAAAGCGUGGGGAGCAAACAGGAUUAGAU